AUUGCUUCUCGGCCUUUUGGCUAAGAUCAAGUGUAGAAGGAGACAUUAACAUUUCUGAUUUUAUAUGAAAAAUUUUUUCCUCAUUCUUGUAACUAAUUUCAUCAAAUGUGGUAGUCAAUGGUUAUUUCCACAAGGCUUUUUGAGCACAUCAUCA
ensembl:snRNA U2 U2 spliceosomal RNA